UUGUUGUAAGAAAGAUGAGACAGUUAAUGCUCCCCUUUAGAGUGGAUGGGAGAGGUCCUACCUACUGCUUUUAUAACAACAUGGAUAGUUAAGGCAUCGCUACCCAUUCUGUGGCAUUUAACCAUGUUUU